rnacentral:tRNA from 1 species
CGUUCUGUGGUGAAGUUGGUUAACACACCCUGUCUAGCCAAAAUGGGGAACGUGGGUUCAAUUCCCACAAGAACUA